UCCCUGAUAGUUCAGUAGCUAAGACACUGCUCUCUCAAUGCAGGGGGGCCUGGGUUCGAUCCCUGACCAGGGAA
rnacentral:tRNA from 1 species